UCGGGUCAACCCACAGGCCUUUAUAUUUGAUUCUCGCGCGGGCUUAUGGGCUAUAUUGAGCUCACAAAUAAUGAAACCUAGCUAUAGCAGCGCCAAAUUUUUAAUAAUUCUCUCAUUUUCUCUCAUCUUUAUCUCUCCUCACUCUAACCUCUCCCUCUUUCUCUCUCAUUCGUCUGGGUACCAUCACCUCACAUCUUCACCCCACCACCACAAAUCUUCGCAGCCCCACCACAAAUCUUGUAUCUCCUCUCACAAAUCUCGCGGCGCCCACCACACCACUCGCCACUCAUCGCACAUACCACCACCCCACUUGCCUCCUUUCUUAUCUGGCAGAACAUACCACAACAACACAACAACACAACAACAAUGCGACGACCCAAACAACAAAGCACGAACAACAGUAGAACAAACCACUCGUCGUGCACAUCGGAACGAAGCACCAGCGACACAGCAACGACGCCACCGGAACGACAACGAAGCACCAACGGGACAUCGACUGGCGGCGGCGCAAACAAGAACGAAGGAGGGAGAAUGCGAAGGUGUUUAAUUUUUCGUGAAUUUUCCAGGUGAAUGAUGAACCAACUGGAGGAGAUCAAACGUAGACGUCUUACUAUACAUACUAUUGGCCAGAUUUAGUUAGCUAUAUUAUAGUGAUGCGGUACUUGGUGGUUAGAAGGAAAAUGAUCUAUAUGUACUUAUUAGAAGUAUUUGUGGUACUAAAACAAAUAUUUAUUAGUUGAGUUUGAUUAAGUACAUUAAUUUUCGUUAAUUAGGAUUUGUCAUGUAUACUCUUAAUUUAAUUAGUUUUGGAAAUUAUAAUACGGAUAUGACAAUUAUUUUUGGCA